rnacentral:rRNA from 1 species
GAAUAUUGGACAAUGGGCGCAAGCCUGAUCCAGCCAUGCCGCGUGCAGGAUGAAGGUGCUCAGCACUGUAAACUGCUUUUACUCGGGAAAAAUUCCCUGGUUUAUACCGGGGUUGAUUGUACCGAGAGAAUAAGGGACGGCUAACUUCGUGCCAGCAGCCGCGGUAAUACGAAGGUCCCAAGCGUUAUCCGGAUUUAUUGGGUUUAAAGGGUGCGUAGGCGGACUAUUAAGUCAGUGGUGAAAUCCCCAAGCUUAACUUGGGAACUGCCAUUGAUACUGAUGGUCUUGAGUACAUUUGAAGUGGGCGGAAUGUGUUAUGUAGCGGUGAAAUGCUUAGAUAUGACACAGAACACCGAUUGCGUAGGCAGCUCACUAAACUGUAACUGACGCUGAGGCACGAAAGCGUGGGGAGCGAACAGG